CCUUCGAUAGCUCAGUUGGUAGAGCGGUGGACUGUAGAGAAAAUUCGGAGGGUUGCUUUCAAGUCAAAAUGCACUUGAUCCAAACCUCCAAGAGUUGUAAAAGAAAUCCAUAGGUCACUGGUUCAAAUCCGGUUCGAAGGA
rnacentral:tRNA from 2 species